rnacentral:rRNA from 1 species
AACGCUGGCGGCAUGCCUAACACAUGCAAGUCGAACGAGGACCUUCGGGUCUAGUGGCGCACGGGUGCGUAACGCGUGGGAAUCUGCCUUGGGUUCGGAAUAACAGUUAGAAAUGACUGCUAAUACCGAAUGAUGUCUUCGGACCAAAGAUUUAUCGCCCAAGGAUGAGCCCGCGUCGGAUUAGCUAGUUGGUGAGGUAAAGGCUCACCAAGGCGACGAUCCGUAGCUGGUCUGAGAGGAUGAUCAGCCACACUGGGACUGAGACACGGCCCAGACUCCUACGGGAGGCAGCAGUGGGGAAUAUUGGACAAUGGGCGAAAGCCUGAUCCAGCAAUGCCGCGUGAGUGAUGAAGGCCUUAGGGUUGUAAAGCUCUUUUACCCGGGAUGAUAAUGACAGUACCGGGAGAAUAAGCCCCGGCUAACUCCGUG